GGGCCUAUAGCUCAGACGGUUAGAGCGCUUCGCUGAUAACGAAGAGGUCCCUGGUUCAAGUCCAGGUAGGCCCA
rnacentral:tRNA from 1 species